rnacentral:rRNA from 2 species
UAGGGAAUCUUCGGCAAUGGACGAAAGUCUGACCGAGCAACGCCGCGUGAGUGAAGAAGGUUUUCGGAUCGUAAAACUCUGUUGUUAGAGAAGAACAAUGACGUUAGUAACUGAACGUCCCCUGACGGUAUCUAACCAGAAAGCCACGGCUAACUACGUGCCAGCAGCCGCGGUAAUACGUAGGUGGCAAGCGUUGUCCGGAUUUAUUGGGCGUAAAGCGAGCGCAGGCGGUUUCUUAAGUCUGAUGUGAAAGCCCCCGGCUCAACCGGGGAGGGUCAUUGGAAACUGGGAGACUUGAGUGCAGAAGAGGAGAGUGGAAUUCCAUGUGUAGCGGUGAAAUGCGUAGAUAUAUGGAGGAACACCAGUGGCGAAGGCGGCUCUCUGGUCUGUAACUGACGCUGAGGCUCGAAAGCGUGGGGAGCAAACAGG